ACGGAAGGCAGCAGUGGGGAAUAUUGGGCAAUGGGCGAAAGCCUGACCCAGCAACGCCGCGUGAGGAAGAAGAUUUUCGGAUUGUAAACUUCUUUUAUGAGGGACGAAGGACGUGACGGUACCUCAUGAGUAAGCCACGGCUAACUACGUGCCAGCAGCCGCGGUAAUACGUAGGUGGCGAGCGUUAUCCGGAUUUACUGGGUGUAAAGGGCGCGUAGGCGGGGUGACAAGUCAGAUGUGAAAUCUAUGGGCUCAACCCAUAAACUGCAUUUGAAACUGCCACUCUUGAGUGCUGGAGAGGUAGACGGAAUUCCUUGUGUAGCGGUGAAAUGCGUAGAUAUAAGGAAGAACACCAGUGGCGAAGGCUGUCUACUGGACAGUAACUGACGCUGAGGCGCGAAAGCGUGGGGAGCAAACAGGAUUAGAUACCCUGGUA
rnacentral:rRNA from 1 species